CUACGGGGGGCAGCAGUGAGGAAUAUUGCACAAUGGGGGGAACCCUGAUGCAGCAACGCCGCGUGGAGGAUGACGCAUUUCGGUGUGUAAACUCCUUUUAUAUGUCAAGAAAAUGACGGUAGCAUAUGAAUAAGCACCGGCUAACUCCGUGCCAGCAGCCGCGGUAAUACGGAGGGUGCAGGCGUUACUCGGAAUCACUGGGCGUAAAGGACGCGUAGGCGGGUUGGAAAGUCAGGUGUGAAAUCCUACAGCUUAACUGUAGAACUGCACUUGAAACUUCUAAUCUAGAGUAUGGGAGGGGGAGAUGGAAUUAGUGGUGUAGGGGUAAAAUCCGUAGAUAUCACUAGGAAUACCUAAAGCGAAGGCGAUCUCCUGGGACAUUACUGACGCUGAGGCGUGAAAGCGUGGGGAGCAGACAGGAUUAGAUACCCCAGUAGUC
rnacentral:rRNA from 1 species